rnacentral:lncRNA from 7 species
GAGGAAAAGCCUGAAGGGCACGAGAAGGGGAUAGAGAAGGGCAGGCAGUAGGCGUGAAGCUGCGAGCAGAGUAGAGAGCAACUUGGCAGAGCAGCAAGCAGAGUAGGCAAGUGUUGAGGUUUGGCGUGAGUAGCAGCAAAAGCCCAGAGCAUCAAGAAGCAGGAAGUGAGGAGAAGGUAAGUGAAGGGCAGGCAAGGUAAUGGGAGGCAAAGGCAAGGGGAAAGGGGGGGUAAGGGAGAAAGAAGGGAUGGGGAUGGGGAGGGGAUGGGUGAAGAGCAGAGCGGAGGGAAGGGCUGAGGGGGGGCUGAAGGCAAACCUAUGAUGAAAAAAGAAAAGAAAAAAUAAGAACAAAAAAUAUGAAAAAAAGAGAAAAAAAGAAAAGAAAAAUAAGAAAAAGAGAAAAAAUGAAAAGAAAAAAGAAAAAAAUGAACAAAAAAGAGUAAAAAGAGAAAAAAAUGAAAAAAGAGAAAAAAGAGAAAAGAAAAAAGAAAAAAUGAACAAAAAAGAGUAAAAAAAGAAAGAAAAGAAGAAAAAAAAGAAGAAAAGAAGAGAAGAAAAGAAAAAAAGAAAUGAAAAAAAAGAGAAAAAAAAGAGAAAAGAUAAAAAAGAAAAAAGAUAAAGAAAAAAGAAAAAAAGAAAAUAGAAAUAAAAGAGGAAAGAAAAAUAUAAAAAAAGGAAAAAGAAAAAAAGAAAAGAAAAAAACAGUAGAUGAAAAAAGAAAAAACAAAAGGAAAAACGAAUAAUGACAAGAGAAGAAAGGUAAAGAGAAAAAGAAGAAAAAAGCCAAGUCAAAAAGUAAAGAAUAACUCGAAGGAAGGAGUGGAUGGCAAGAAAUACAGAGAAAGCAGUGCAUAGCACAGCAGAGCAAAGCAAGGCAAAAUAGCAGCCAAAGCCACGAGAAUCAAGAAGUCAGUGAAGAGCAGGAAAGGAAUGGAGGAAUCUGUCCAGAGCUGUGCCCCUGCUUGCCACAGGAGCUGCGCGGGAGGAGAAGAACGUGGGCCAAAAGGUGUUCCACUUUGGCUUUGUAUGACACAGUGGACGAGAGGGACGGCGUUCAGUGGAACAAACGCUGCAGACCCUGGGGAGAAUCAAAGCAGGAGAGAGGAAACGUGCCCUUUGCAGCAGGGGCCGUUGUGCUGGCAUUGCCCAUCGCAUCCACUGCUGCUGUGGUCCUUUCUUUCCUUUGGGCAGUUUGCUGUCUCUCACGGGGUUGUCUACAAUAGGUGUUUGUUUGUGUGUCUGUGUGAGGCUGUUGAAUAAAAUUCCUACCUCUGUGUUCUGCUCUGGGUGCGUGGUUUUCUUGCCUCUGCUCCUGAGGCAUCCUGACUGUCGGAUCCAAACGUACCCUGGGACAGACAGACAGACAGACAGCCAAGGCAGGCAGGUGCUGCGAUGCCAACCGUCCAGCCAGCCAACGCAGGCAGGCACGUGUGUGUGUGUGUGUGGGUGUGCGCAAGGGUGGGGUUGCACAUGUUUUGUGUACACGUGGGUGCACAAGGGGAGGGGUUACACAGCUGUGAGUAAGCACAUGGAGAGUGUAAGGAUGGUGUUGCACACGUGUGUGUGCAAGGGUUAACAAACUGGUGGGGUUGCGCAGGUGCGUGCAUUCACAGGGCUGUGCAAAGUGUUGGGGUUGCACAUGUGGGUGAGUGAGCAAGGGCGGGGUGGUACAGGUUUGUGCACGCAAGUCGUGAGUGCAAGGAAGGGUUGCACACGUGCCUGUAUGCAGGGGUGUGCAAAGGGGUGGGGAUGCA